AGACCGAGUGGGGCAAUCGCGCCGUAUUGUGCCGAAAGGUAUUACGGUGAGGAAAGUCCGGGCAUCAUAGGGCAGGAUAACGGAUAACGUCCGCCGAGGGUGACCUCAGGGAAAGUGCAACAGAAAUAAACCGCCGCAGAAGCGGUAAGGAUGGAAAGGCGAGGUAAGAGCUCACCCGAACCUAUGGUAACAUAGGCUCGCUGUAAACCCUAUCCGAUGCAACACCUUAAAUUUCGGGUUAUACCGAGGGGCUGCCCGUCCCUAUAUUUAUGGUGGCAGAGCCGCAAGGCUUGAACUGUACGGUAACGUGCAGUGAAGAUAGAUGAUUGCCGCGCGCAAGCGACAGAACCCGGCUUACAAGCUCGGUCACAAU
rnacentral:RNase_P_RNA from 1 species